rnacentral:rRNA from 1 species
UGAGGAAUAUUGGUCAAUGGGAGAGAUCCUGAACCAGCCAAGCCGCGUGAGGGAAGACGGCCCUAUGGGUUGUAAACCUCUUUUGCCGGGGAGCAAAGUGCCGCACGUGUGCGGUUUGGAGAGUACCCGGAGAAAAAGCAUCGGCUAACUCCGUGCCAGCAGCCGCGGUAAUACGGAGGAUGCGAGCGUUAUCCGGAUUUAUUGGGUUUAAAGGGUGCGUAGGCGGUCCGUUAAGUCAGCGGUAAAAUUGCGGGGCUCAACCCCGUCGAGCCGUUGAAACUGGCAGACUUGAGUUGGCGAGAAGUACGCGGAAUGCGCGGUGUAGCGGUGAAAUGCAUAGAUAUCGCGCAGAACUCCGAUUGCGAAGGCAGCAUGCCGGCUCCACACUGACGCUGAGGCACGAAAGCGUGGGUAUCGAACAGG